UACAACCAAACAGGUCAGGAUGAUUUAUCUGAGGUAGGAGACUACUGUUAUGUGAUCUGACACAUGAUAGGCAGAGCAUAAAGUGACUGAAAAACUCCAACCACUAAAUAUCACCAACACCCAAAUCCACCACCACCAAAGUGGUGGGUCCACAUCUUCUUUGGUACAAGUGUUUUUAGUUUCUUUAGAUGCCUAUUAGGAAUAAGAGAAUAUUAUCUUUAUAUAUUGUUGAUGCUCUAGUAUACUCAAUAAUUUUUAUUUUUAUUUUUUUCUCUGCUGGUGUUGGUCAUACUGGGCAUUUAUUUGCAACCAUAUAUAUGACUCAUAAUAUUUUCUUAUUAAGGUAAUGGUGACUAAGUUUUAUUGAAAAAUUUACCUUCCAUACGAGCAAACUAAUGUCGAAUUGCCUUCCAUUGUAAAUGGAAGUUGGUGAUAUAGCUGCUCCAAUGGCAAUCUUGUUGUUUGUUUGAACAAAGCCGGCGCAAAAGAGGUUGUAGCACCCUGUCUCUUGGUAUGCAUCAGUCUACAUGCACCAUUAAGGUAUGCAAUGUAUUAGACGUGUAAUAUAGUUUACUUAACAUACAAAAUUUUAUAUAUUUAUAUUAAUUUUAACAUGAUUUUUUUAAAAAAAAAAACUUUUUAUGUGGUUUUAAGGUUUAGAGUACUAACUGUCCAAUAUGUGAAGAACCUAGGGCAAUCAUCUCCGUAUAGUUGUGGGCUCACCUGCAAAAGGAUAAAAACAAAUUUAAUACACAAACACAUAUUAUGUGAUGGAUUUGAGUAGCUCAAUAGAACUAUGGAAAAUACUUGGAAAAAGUUAUAUUUAAUCAUUUAUCUGUAAGAGAUGGACUUUUUUUUGUUUUUCCUCUUAAUCAGAAAAAAAUGGCUUUGAGAACUCAUAAGAGAUCAUUUACUGCAAUAUAUAUUAUGGUCUACCUCUUUAUAUUGAGACAUUUCUUUUUUGACAUAAAAAUUACUCUUUGAGGGAAAAAUACAACAUCACCUUUAGUUAGAUCAACAAGAUCAAUCAAAGAAGAAAUUGAUGCCUUAGUACUACUGUUUGAACAAUAUGGAAUAAAAAAAANAUGUCGAAUUGCCUUCCAUUGUAAAUGGAAGUUGGUGAUAUAGCUGCUCCAAUGGCAAUCUUGUUGUUUGUUUGAACAAAGCCGGCGCAAAAGAGAUUGUAGCACCCUGUCUCUUGGUAUGCAUCAGUCUACAUGCAACAUUAAGG
rnacentral:lncRNA from 1 species